rnacentral:tRNA from 1 species
UCCCUGGUGGUCCAGUGGCUAAGACUCUUGUGCUCCCAAUGCAGGGCCCUGGGUUCAAUCCCUGGUCAGGGAA